GUCAGUGUGAGGAAGGGCAGGAACCCCUGCUGCUUUUUAAGCCCCUGCAGGCGUUUGUGAUGCAGUAGGGAGUUAGAAAAGUACUCAGUAGUGAGUGUCCUUAUUCGGUUUGCCAAAAAUUAAAGGUGGGGAGGACAAAAACCAGGAGAGAUUGAUGGCAUCUACUUUUCUACGGAAAUGUCUAGCUCCGCUUCCAAAAAAAAGCCGUAUUUUUGUGCUUAAAAUAAUAGUGGCUCUCAACCAUGGCUGCAUAUUAGAAUCACCCAAGGAGCUUUUAAAAACAUCGAUGCCCAGGCACCACCUCUACCCCUUUUGAUGCUCUUCCUUCCAACUCCCACCACUACCAAAUAAAUUGAAAAUCUAGUGAAGGGACCUCAGUCCCAUGAUUCAAAUCAUUAAUAUAAAAGUCACCUGCAAUUUCUGCACAAUUUAUUGAAUUGGGCAAAACAAAUUAGAGCACUGAACCACUUUGUCAAUGAUUUUCAACCUGAUAUUCUAAGGAAGAAAACUUGCUCCUUAGAAUUUUGCAUUGGCUGUUCUUUCUGCCUGGGACACUUUCCCUUCCUAUAUGCAUAGCUAACUACCUUACCUCCUCAAUGAGACUGACCUGCCCUCCAGGCCCCAAAAUGGCACUCCCAAGCUCACUCUGCUCUACUUUCUUUUUAUCAUAGCACUUAUCAGUGUCUAACAUAGAAUUUGCCCAUUUCUUGUACCUAUUGUGUAAUGUUUGUUUCCACCCACUAGAAUGUAAACAAAUAUGAUCAGGUAUUUUUCAUUUCGUUCACUGAUGAAACUUAAGUAUCUAGAACAAUACCAAACAUGAUUGAGCACUCGAUAAAUACUUGUUGAAUUUCAGUGGCCUCUCAAAUAGCAUUUAACUCAUUAUCUCCAUAAAAGAUAAGUGUUUACCCAUGUUAUGUAAUAUGUUUGGAAUGUGCUAGCAUUACACGCUUGCAUAAAGUUUUUUGAAGAAUUAUAUAUCUCACCAGGCAAAUGUUCUGUACCCCUGUGAAGCCUGCAGGAUAUCUGGGCUGUCAGUCAGAAGAUCUGGGCUUUAAUCUCAUGUUGUCUGUUAAAUAAAUAUGUAAUAUUGAUCAAA